rnacentral:rRNA from 1 species
UACGAAGGGGGCUAGCGUUGCUCGGAAUUACUGGGCGUAAAGCGCAUGUAGGCGGCUCGGAAAGUCGGAUGUGAAAGCCCAGGGCUCAACCCUGGAAGUGCACUCGAAACUCCCGAGCUGGAGUCCCGGAGAGGAAGGCGGAAUUCUCGGUGUAGAGGUGAAAUUCGUAGAUAUCGAGAGGAACACCUGUGGCGAAGGCGGCCUUCUGGACGGUGACUGACGCUGAGAUGCGAAAGCGUGGGGAGCAAACAGG